rnacentral:tRNA from 2 species
AUCUCGGUAGCUCAAUGGUAGAGCGCGGCAAUGAAUACUUGACGAAAUGUGGGUUCGAAUCCUACCCGAGAAUCCA